rnacentral:rRNA from 1 species
UUGAUGACGAGUGGCGGACGGGUGAGUAAUGCUUGGGAAUCUAGCUUAUGGAGGGGGAUAACUACGGGAAACUGUAGCUAAUACCGCGUAAUAUCGGAAGAUGAAAGUGCGGGACCGCAAGGCCGCAUGCCAUAGGAUGAGCCCAAGUGGGAUUAGGUAGUUGGUGAGGUAAAGGCUCACCAAGCCGACGAUCUCUAGCUGGUCUGAGAGGAUGACCAGCCACACUGGGACUGAGACACGGCCCAGACUCC